rnacentral:lncRNA from 1 species
CUUGAACAGCCGAUAUAUUUCCAUACAAGUACAAUAUUCGAACAAUAAUAUAUAAUUUACAUACGUGGCGGAGCUACUAAAUGAAAUCCUUUCUCUUGUAUUUUCGUACGGGCCAAACGGGGUUAUCUUAAUUUCUACAAUGACAAUAUUAAUAAAUGCAAGGCAUACAGCUAUCUGCUAACCUCUAAACUAUAACCCUUACUUGUAAAAUAAACUGCGAGGCAUUAAGCUAAAUGCGCUGCUUUUUACCUCUAGGAACCCCCGUGUUGAGCCUUGCUGCAAGCUAAAUGUAAAUACAGCAAAGACAAACGAACGUGACGUUGCACUGGUUUUUAUUUAAAAUUCCCGGAAGUAAAUAUUCAAAGCAGAAAGAAGAACAUAACGUAAAACACAUAAAAUAUAGGAGUCCUCGACUCAAAAUGCUUAUAAUAAUACACUUUAUUAAUAAACAAAUCUAGACAUAUUAAUUCUUCCAGUUAAGAGCUCACAAAUGAACACUUUUGGGUUCACGCUUAAAAUAUUGACCCAAC